rnacentral:rRNA from 1 species
UGGGGAAUAUUGGACAAUGGGCGAAAGCCUGAUCCAGCCAUGCCGCGUGAAUGAUGAAGGCCUUAGGGUUGUAAAAUUCUUUCACCGGGGACGAUAAUGACGGUACCCGGAGAAGAAGCCCCGGCUAACUUCGUGCCAGCAGCCGCGGUAAUACGAAGGGGGCUAGCGUUGCUCGGAAUUACUGGGCGUAAAGAGUACGUAGGCGGAUCGAUUAGUUGGUGGUGAAAGCCCAGAGCUCAACUCUGGAACUGCCAUCAAUACUGUCGAUCUGGAGCAGAGUAGAGGUAAGUGGAAUUCCAAGUGUAGAGGUGAAAUUCGUAGAUAUUUGGAGGAACACCAGUGGCGAAGGCGACUUACUGGACUCUUGCUGACGCUGAGGUACGAAAGCGUGGGGAGCAAA